AUGUGCAAUUUAGAACAACCCAAAGGAAGAAUGCAGUGCAACUUUGACAACACGGAAAUCAUCUUUUCCUUUGAAAUGAACCGGCCCAGGUUGAAACGAGCCCUGUCAGGUUUCUUUUCUCUAUGGAACAAGUCCUCAGCUUCUAUCCCUUGUGCAAAUGUGCAAGUGGCAGGUUAUUCAAUUUUUGUAACUGCGCAACUGUGUGGUUUCCAAAAAUUGGGAGCUGAGCUAAGCUGCGCAUGGUGCAGCUUUAAUUUGGUCUUGAAUGCAACGCAAGUGUGUUGCUGUAGUCGAGUGCAUUUCCUUUUUUGGUUGGGUGUAUCCCUAUACUUUUCUUCACAGAAAUCUCUCAGUGCAAGAGUGACUCGCGUACGAGUGAAGGCCUCUAACCUGGAGCAUGUAGUAAGAUGUCGGCUUAAUCUGUCAUUAAAAUCUGCAAUGUUGUAGUUGACAAAAAUGACACUGGAUUUGGCUUUAACCUAAUUCUCAGACUCGAUGCUUUACUAGCAUUCUUUUGGCCAUGGGACCCUGUAGCCUUUCAUCUUAAACAUAAGAUGAGUGAAAUUUGAAUCCUUGUAUUGUGUGGUGGGUGUGUUGUGUAGAUCACUCUGUUUCAGAUCAUUUUCGUCCGUCUGCUCCAAUCUCACCCGCCUCUGAAUGCUAAGCAUCUGUGGAACCUGUCGGCACAUGUGUGGCCCCUGAAUGAAGUACCAACCCCCCCUGUGCGCUUGAGCUUAAAUCCGAACUCCCCGACAUUCUUCGCAGAAGGCCUGCUGUCUGUGUUUGUGCCUCUUUUCUUUCCCCCCCUUGGUUUCUCAGGUCAAAUUACCUUAAAUUGUCUAAAUGUAUCAUCUGGGAUGGCCUAACCUGUGAUGGAACGCUGAGAAUCCAGUCACAUUACGAUCAAGAGCUGCAAGCUUGUCACACUAAUACUGCAUCACUUCACUCUCGUGGGUGCGAAGUUAAGUAAUUUCGGUUACCAUGAUUUAUUUCGUUAACCAACCAUGGCUUUAAUUGUUUUGUAACAUACUGCAUGCACAUCAACUCUGCAUAACAGUUAAGUUGACAUGAUAUCCAUGUGGUCAAUAUCACACAUUGCAGUAUUGGGAAUCUGUGGGGUGGGCGGGCGGGCAACCUUCUCUCUUUUCAGUUAUCUUGUUCAGGUUAACUUGAUACUGAACCAGAUGGCUAAACCACUGCAAGGAGUCAUGGGACAACUUGGUGUUGCAUCAACCUCUAGGGUUCGUUCUCUUUUGCUCGGAGAGUUGACCGUCGUGGUGGUAAAUGCUGCUGCACCCGUUGCGGUAAAUGACAAUCAUGACAAAUUUUAAAACUUCACGUAAGUGGGACAAAUCCUGACAUGAUUGAUGCGUCAUGCUGGUGGCUUUGUGCCGGGGGGGUGGGGGGGGGGGGGCCUAAAUUGUCUCUCUUUUCACGUUACAGCUGUAAACUUUUGAGUCUUCACUAUCCUUCCUGCCAAAUUGCGAUGGAUAAAAGGCUUUGAGCAUCACCAGGGAUGCUGGUAUUGUGGCUGCAGUGCUGACCUAAGAACUUGGAAUUCAUACAAAUACUGUUGUGGGCCAUGAUGGGGAUGGGGA
ensembl:lncRNA